UUUUUUGGUUAUGUCUUUAUUGGUUUUGGUAUCAGGGUAAUACUGACCUCACGAAUGAAUUUGGACAUUUUCUUUCCUCUUCUAUGUUUUGGAAUAGUUUGAGAAAUUUAGAUGUUAACUCUUCUUUAAAUGUUGGUAAAAUUCAUGUGCAUAGCCAUCUGGUCCUGGAGUUUUCUUUGUUGGGAAUUUUGUUAUUACUCAUUCACUUUCCUUGCUGGUUAAUGAUCUCUAAAAUUUUUCUAUUUCUUUAUGUUUCAGUUUUGGUAGGUUUUUAUAAAAAAAUAUUUAUUUAUUCAUGAGAGACACAGAGAGAGGCAGAGACAUAGGCAGAGGGAGAAGCAGGCUCCCUGCAGGGAGCCUGAUCCAGAACUCAAUCCCAGGACCCUGGGAUCAUGACCUGAACCAAAGGCAGAUGAUCAACCACUGAGCCAGGUGCCUAGUAGUUUAUUUGGUUGUAAAAAAUUAUUCAUUUCUAAGGUUAGGUUAUUUAUUUGAGACUUCCCUUGUUUCUUGAGGUAUGCUUGUAUUGCUAUAAACUUCCUUCUUAGAACCAUUUUUGGUGCAUCCCAAUAUUUUGGAUCUUUGUGUUUUCAUGUUCUUUUGCUGAUUUGUUUCUGAUUUGCUCUUUGAUUCCUUAAUUGAUCUAUUCAUUGUCUAGGAACAUGUUCUUUAACCUCCAUGUAUUUGCCCUUUUUCCAUAUCAUUAUUUUCUAGUUUCAUAGUGUUGUCAUAAAAAUGUAUGGUAUCAUUUCCGUCUUUUUUAACAUGUUAAGAUAUGUUUUUUGGUCUCAUGUGUGUUCUAUUCUGGAUAAUGUCUCAUGUGCACUUGAAAAGAAUGUAUUUUUAUGUUUUAGGAUGCAAUGAUCUGAAUAUGUCUGUUAGAUCUAUCUGGCCUAUUGUGUCAUUCAAAGCCACUGUUUCCUUGUUGAUUUUCUGUUUAGGUGAUCUUUCCAUCAAUGUAUGGGAGGGACGUUAAGGUCCUCUACUGUUAUUGUAUUGGUAUAGAGUAGCUCCCUUACAUUUGUUAUUUGCAGUUUUAUGUAUUUGAGUGUUCUCAUGUUGGGUGCAUAAAUAUUUACAAUUGGUUAAACCUUCUUGUUAGAUUCCCCCUUUAUUAUUAUGUAGUGUCCUUCUUUGUCUCUUGUUAUAGACUUUGUUUUAAUGUCUUUUUAUUGUCCAAUAUAAAUAUUGCUACCCUGGCUUUCUUUUGAUGUCCAUUUGCAUGAGAAACAUUUCUCCAUCCCCUCACUUUCAAUCUUUACAUGCCUUUGGGUCUGAAAUGAGUCUCUUGUAGGCAGCAUAUAGAUGGAUUUUUUCUUUUUCUUUUUAAAAAGAUUUUACUUAUUUAUUUAGGAAAGACACAGAGACACAGGCAGUAGGAGAAGCAGGCUCCCUGUGGGGCGUCUGAUGUGAGACUCGAUCACAGGACCCCGGGAUCACACCCUGAGCCGAAGGCAGAUGCUCAACCACUGAGCUACCCAGGAGUCCCUGGAUUUUUUUUCUUUUAAAGAUUUUAUUUAUUCAUUUAUUAGAGAGAGAACAAGUGGGUGGAGGGACAGAGUGAGAGAGAAGCAGACUCCUCACUGAGCAAGGAGCCAGAUAUGGGGGCUCGAUCUCAGGACUCUGGAAUCAAGACCUGAGCUGAAAGCAGACACUUAACCAACUGAGCCACCCAAGUGCCCUGGAUUUUUUUUUUAUCUACU
rnacentral:lncRNA from 1 species